GGCGCUAUGGCCGAGUGGUUAAGGCGACAGAUUUGAACACUCAUUAUCUGUUGGAUCUCCCGCGCAGGUUCGAACCCUGCUGGCGUCG